CCCGUCCGGGUCCGUGGUUGCGCCUGGUGGGGCCUCGGGGGCCGCCCCGAGCCGCCCACCGGGCUAGCCGAUGCCAGCCGCAGGCGAAGCGGCCCACGUAAGGCGACUUCUCGUCGUCCGAUCACGGUGCGGCUUAGAGGUAAGUCCUGCCUCGUCGAAGGUCCAGAUGUCCUUCGAUCCGGGAGAAGGGGAGUAGUGGCGGUAGCGCUGCGAGACCCUCAGCAGGCGGAUGUGGGGUCGAAGACCAGGUCGGCCGGACGGG
rnacentral:ncRNA from 1 species